rnacentral:rRNA from 1 species
GAUGAACGCUGGCGGCGUGCCUAAUACAUGCAAGUCGAGCGAACGGACUAGAAUCUUUCUUCUCUGAUGUUAGCGGCGGACGGGUGGGUAACACGUGGAUAACCUACCUAUAAUACUGGGAUAGCUUCGGGAAACCGUAGCUAAUACCGAAUAAUAUUUUUAACCGCAUGGUUCAAAAGUUAAAGACAGUCUUGCUGGCACUUAUAGAUGAAGCCGCGCUGCAUUAGCUAGUUGGUAAGGUAACGGCUUACCAAGGCAACGAUGCAGAGCCGACCUGAGAGGGUGAUCGGCCCCACUGGACCUGAGCCACGGCCCAGACUCCUACGGGAGGCAGCAGUAGGGAAUCUUCCGCAAUGGGAGAAAGCCUGACGGAGUCCAGCCGCGCCAGGGAUGAGGGUAUUCGGAUAGUAAAACUCUGUUAUUAGGGAAGAACAUAUGUGUAAGUAACUGUGGACAUCCUGAAGGUACCUUAUGAGAAAGCAACGGCUAACUCCGUG